AUGCCGACCUUUUCCCGGAGGAUCCAGGGUCUACACUAGCUCAGUACGAAAGUGCCUCCCAGGGACCUCACAGCUAGAACCGCGCAGCGGCCCUACCUAAACGCCAGACCCGUAGACAGGAAGGCACAGCCUGGCCCGGAGGAAGCUCAUCCUUGCUGGUCGAAAGCAAACCGUAUCCAAUUGGCAGGGAGGAAGGAAACCGGUCACUGAGGGAUCCAGUCUAAAACUCUGACCUCAGAUAAGCCCAGAUGAAAGCAGGCUGCUGAACUUGGAGCUAAAGGAGUUUCCUGCAUGGAGAGAUCUUGAAAACAAGCUGAAGCCAAUGCAAAGGAAAGCAGAGAGAUGGUGGACGUCUUCACCUCUGAAGCGCCUCCUAGUGCCGACGUCUUCUAGUGCGAUCACCUCGGACCAGACAAAAGGCAAGGUCAAGUACUGCUUUUGAGGAGGAGAGAUGAAGCUAUAGAAGAAGGGAUGCCUUUGAGAUUCUCAACAAAGUCAGUAUCAAGUGAGAUAUUAUGAAGUAUUACACAGUUGGAGGAAAUUGUGUUCUUGAAGAUAGUUAAAAGAUCUGAAGUAAUAAAUUCAAUAGGGAUUUUAUAGUGAAUUUCAGUAAGUACAUUAUAUAAAUUAUUCUAAAUCAUCCAUGUGAAGAAAAAUAUAUUUAAUGUAUUUAAAUGUACACAAAAGAAAACCUAUUGAGGGAUUAUUUAAAAUAAAUACAAUAUUCAAGUUGUUCAGAUAGUGAGAGAAACCGUAUACACAACUCAUGUGCACCGAUAGGAAUCAUUUGUUACAUGACCAAGGUCUCUAACAACGUGCUACUGAAAACCUGUUUAGCAGAUAAUGUUCUUUAUUCAAUAUCUAUUUUUUUGUUGUUGUUGCUGAAAGUUCCCAAUUUUGUUGAGAGGCAGUUGACCCCCCCCUAAAAUAAUGCAAUGUCCCAGACAUCCUGGAAGCUAGAGAUGGCUAUGUGACACAGCUGUGACCAGUGAGUAUUUGUCAGUUUUGGCGAAGACUUUGUGUUCUUAAUUAUGGAUACCCACAUUUCUUCCCUUUUUUUUUUCCUCUUCCUCUCUGUAACAUCAGUUCUAUGCCUAGAGUGCACCAGGAUUUUUGUGAUCAGGAGUCCAUAAGAAGGAGGAGGAGGAGGGCACGGUGGAAAGAUGGACAGCCAGAUCCUUGGUCUUAUUUUUAAGUACCUACUCUAGCCAGAAGAGACCUCCGUCAGACCUCUGGUUGUCUGGGGGCAAAUGGUGUCACUCUUAGAAGAGUUUCUGUCCUAUGAAGUCAAAACCAUUCCUUACUGAUACAGUUCCCUAAACUGAUUGUCCAAUUUCAGGAAAAACUCUCCAACAUGGGUGAAGGAGGGAGGAGGUAUUAAUUUAGCACAUCAGAUUGGCUCAUAAUCCAGCAAUCUAUGGGAUGUCUCUACGGAGACAGAGCAUCCUAAUAUCUGUAACAGGUUUUUAUAUAACCAGUUUUCUUUCUUGAUCUACAUGAAUCUGAUGCAUAACAAAAUGGUGUCCUCUCUACCUGUGUUUCCUUGUUUUCACUAAGCCUGUCUUCCAGUACCCGUCAAGAAAGUAUGUAUGUUGGGAUGCCUGGGUGGCUCAGU